GGCGCCAUCGUCUAGUGGUUAGGACACCACGCUUUCAAUGUGGUAACCGGGGUUCGACUCCCCGUGGCGCUA
rnacentral:tRNA from 1 species